CCUACGGGAGGCAGCAGUGGGGAAUUUUGGACAAUGGGCGCAAGCCUGAUCCAGCAAUGCCGCGUGCAGGAUGAAGGCCUUCGGGUUGUAAACUGCUUUUGUACGGAACGAAACGGUCUGCUCUAAUACAGUGGGCUAAUGACGGUACCGUAAGAAUAAGCACCGGCUAACUACGUGCCAGCAGCCGCGGUAAUACGUAGGGUGCGAGCGUUAAUCGGAAUUACUGGGCGUAAAGCGUGCGCAGGCGGUUAUAUAAGACAGAUGUGAAAUCCCCGGGCUCAACCUGGGACCUGCAUUUGUGACUGUAUAGCUAGAGUGCGGCAGAGGGGGAUGGAAUUCCGCGUGUAGCAGUGAAAUGCGUAGAUAUGCGGAGGAACACCGAUGGCGAAGGCAAUCCCCUGGGCCUGCACUGACGCUCAUGCACGAAAGCGUGGGGAGCAAACAGGAUUAGAUACCCUGGUAGUCCACGCCCUAAACGAUGUCAACUGGUUGUUGGGUCUUCACUGACUCAGUAACGAAGCUAACGCGUGAAGUUGAACCGCCUGGGGAGUACGGCCGCAAGGUUGAAACGUCAAAAGAGAGUAGAGCGNGAGAGNGCGAGGCGACACGAGGGGAGAGG
rnacentral:rRNA from 1 species